CUUUUAUCUUUUAUUUUAAUUAUAACAUCUGUAAAACUCCUAAAACCCCAAAUAACUUCAACGCACUCAAAGACCUAAGGAACAAAGUCUGUUCCGAAAAACUCUAGUAUUCUCUUGAGAUCUAUGGAAGAAUCAUCCCAAAGCCAUGAUCAGUAGUUGUAGCCGUAAAUUAUCACCACAAUCUGUGCCAAAUAGCUUUGGAAACCUGUAUGUAUAUAGCAUCUCGCUGCCGGUAGCUGUACAUCAUUGUCGGUACGUAACUGUAAAAUUCUAUUGGGUGACGCCGGUAAGUGUAUUUUCUUGGAUAGAUGUUUUAGCAAUCUUAGAUUUCGUGUAUUCUACCUACUGCUUGUUGCAGGUUAAAGGUGCAAAAAUUUGAAAUCCCUAAUUUAAGAUGUGUGGUAAUGUAUUUAAGAUUUGGGGGUUUCUUCUUGAAUUAAUCAUCCCUUUCUUGUUCCACUUAUUAAUUUCUUGUUGAGUUCAUCAUUUUUAUUUCUAUUGAAGCUUUGAAUCUAAAUUAGGGACAUGUUAGGAUUUUUCAUAUUAAAAUUCUUCCAUUUUUGCUCUUUAUUCUUAAAAUUGGGGAUCUGUUAGGGUUCUUUUUCUUCUUUAUUGCAUCUUUAUAAUUGAUUGACUGUCCAUUUUUGAAGGCUAUUCGUGGGUUUUAGUAGCUGCUAAUCAUCCAUUAUCAACUCUUUCUUAUGAAUCAUCUUAGAAAGUCAGUAAAAUCAUCUAUAGAAGCACAAAAAAAUCUAAGACCAUAGUGUAGGUGUAUUUUAUCAUUGGUCGUCUUUGGAUUACUGUUAAGAAUGAGUUUCAUAUGCUUAUUUUGUGUUUUUCUUGGUUUAGGAGGUAGAAUUGUACAGAAAAACUAAUUGAAUGACUCUCACAUGAAUCUUUCCUAUUAACUUUUAGCUAACUAUGGCUCCAAACUCUUACCUGGUAAUAGAUGAAGUUGGUCUUGCGGGUUUGAAAGCAUCAUUGUGUUUUUCUUUUUUCUCAUUUCUUAGUUGACUUAAUUCUAGUAGAAUAUUCUGCUUUAAUAGUUAAUGCCUUGUAGCCUCAUUUUACAAUUUUAAGAGACAAGUAAUUCAGUAUCAAAUUGAUCCAUCAAAAGUUAUAAAGAUUGCCAUGUUACUUUAGUAUUUUGCAUGACAUGUAUAUUUUUUAUGGUUAUAUUUGCUUGUUAGUUCAAUUGUAAAAUCGUUUUUUUCCAACAACGUCAUGUGACAUGUCCAGCUUAGAGCUAACGAGAUAAUUAUGAUAACAUGGAAAGUAGGAACAGUUAUACAAUUUUGAGCAAUUUUGUACCCCUGGCAGUUGAAUUGAUUUGUCAUGAUGCUUUUGAUUUUAUGGCUAACACACCUGUCAUAGUUGUUUUAAUUGAAUAUUUCACACUUGGUUUUAAUGUGCAUAACUUUAGAGAUUCUUCUAUGGUUUUUAAUUUGAAAAUAUUGUUGCUAUUUUUCUGUUUUGGCUUGGCAUAAAAUCUUCAAUUUGAUUAUUUGUUAGUACUUUAAUAUACAACCACAAGAUGGAGGAAUAUCCCAAGAUGGACCAACUCAAGAAAGUGAAGAUGAAAAUCAAUCAGUCAUGGAAUCCAAGCAUCGUGGACGCAUGAGAUUGUAUAGGCGGGGGUUACGAAAACAGUUUUGAAAGGAAAAGUUGGAGGUUCUGGGCCUCUAUAAAUGUUACUCAGGAGAAGUUGAAUAAAAAAAAUAGAGAAAAUUAAAGACAUGAUGCAUCAAAGAAUUCAAUAAAAUUUACAAGUAAAACUAGAGAAACAAAAAGAGAAUUUGUGACAAGAAAUUACGAACGUGGUUGAAAUGCUAGCUAUAUUUGCUGCUCGUUCAUUGGGAGAAGAUCGAUACCUCUGCACCUCAAACUGCUAUUCAACAAAUAUUUCAUCGUUCAUCUUUCUACUAGUAGUAACAAACAAGGUGAAGUAAAUGAUAAAGUUACAGACAAAAACAGUGAAGACCUUGUUAAGAAGAUUUCAAUUGUUGCUGAAGUUUUAGAUAUUUUAGGAAUCUUUUAAUUUCAUUCAUUUUGAAACUUAUGCUAACUUUUGAAUUGUAUUUUGCUCUUAUGGAUAUUAUCAAUUGGAUAAUUUGGAUUAUGCUUUUGUUUAUGAAUAGUUUUAUUUUGUAAUGUAUAUAAAUUUUGGUGUA